rnacentral:tRNA from 1 species
GGGGCUGUGGUGUAGCCUGGCUAUCAUUUGAGGUUUGGGACCUUAAGACCCCGGUUCGAAUCCGGGCAGCCCCA